ensembl:snRNA U6 U6 spliceosomal RNA
GUGCUCACUUCAGCAGCACAUAUGCUAAAAUUGGAACGAUAGAGAGAUUAACAAGGCCCUUGGGCAAGAAUGACAUGCAAAUUUGUGAAAGGUUCCAUAUUUUA